AUGGACUGCUACUCUUCACUGUGG
rnacentral:piRNA from 1 species